rnacentral:rRNA from 1 species
UGGUGGGGUGACUUGUCUGCUUAAUUGCGAUAACGAACGAGACCUUAACCUGCUAAAUAGCCCGCAUUGCUCCGGCAGUGCGCUGACUUCUUAGAGGGACUUUCGGCUCAAGCCGAAGGAAGUUUGAGGCAAUAACA